GCCUGAUUAGCUCAAUCGGUAGAGCACCGGUAUCGUAAACCGGUCGUUUCGGGUUCAAGUCCCGUGUCAGGCCCCA
rnacentral:tRNA from 1 species